GGAGACUAGGAAGGAAGGAAGAGCAGCUCAAUUCUUGAGGUUCAGGGAGGUUAAAGAGGCUGAGAGGAGGACCUCCUUUUCAAAGCUUAAAAAGAAGCAGGCCAUUACAGUGAAGAUUUCGAUUGGCAUCAUGUCAAGGACCAAGAAUGGUUUAAAACCUCAAAGAGGGAAAACCAUGCCGUUAAAUGUUGAACCCCAGUGGUCAACAACCCAAAUCUUGCCAGCUGCUUUAAAGAAGCAGCAAGAUUUUAAUCAAAACGCAAUGGUAGAUGGAGAAUAUG
ensembl:lncRNA